rnacentral:rRNA from 1 species
CUGCCCUGCACUCUGGGACAAGCCCUGGAAACGGGGUCUAAUACCGGAUACGACACAGGAAGGCAUCUUCUCUGUGUGGAAAGCUCCGGCGGUGCAGGAUGAGCCCGCGGCCUAUCAGCUUGUUGGUGGGGUGAUGGCCUACCAAGGCGACGACGGGUAGCCGGCCUGAGAGGGCGACCGGCCACACUGGGACUGAGACACGGCCCAGACUCCUACGGGAGGCAGCAGUGGGGAAUAUUGCACAAUGGGCGAAAGCCUGAUGCAGCGACGCCGCGUGAGGGAUGACGGCCUUCGGGUUGUAAACCUCUUUCAGCAGGGAAGAAGCGCAAGUGACGGUACCUGCAGAAGAAGCACCGGCUAACUACGUGCCAGCAGCCGCGGUAAUACGUAGGGUGCGAGCGUUGUCCGGAAUUAUUGGGCGUAAAGAGCUCGUAGGCGGCUUGUCACGUCGGAUGUGAAAGCCCGGGGCUUAACCCCGGGUCUGCAUUCGAUACGGGCAGGCUAGAGUUCGGUAGGGGAGAUCGGAAUUCCUGG